rnacentral:sRNA from 1 species
CGAUCUGCUGGGGAGAAAUAAAGUGAAUGUGGGUGUCAAUUCCGCCGGCCGUGAGGAUCAGUCCCUCUCCGGCCAGGGCCUCUGUGGAGGCUCCCACUGUCAUUCCCGGCGUCACAUUGUCCAUAAUCGACGGAUUCCCCGCUUUUCCGAUUCCCGCGAUUUUUCCGUCUUUAAUUCCGAUGUCCGCCUUAUAAAUUCCUGUAUAAUCCAACACCAGGGCAUUGGUGAUCACCAGAUCCAGGUCGCCGUCCGCGCUGGUAGUCUUCACCGACUGGCCCAUCCCGUCUCG